ACCCAGCUGACGAGUCCCAAAUAGGACGAAACACACGUCCUGGAU
rnacentral:hammerhead_ribozyme from 1 species